UACGGGGGGAGCAAGCGUUGUUCGGAUUUACUGGGCGUAAAGGGCGCGUAGGCGGCCAGCACAAGUCAGUUGUGAAAUCUCCGAGCUUAACUCGGAAAGGUCAACUGAUACUGUGCGGCUAGAGUGCGGAAGGGGCAACUGGAAUUCUUGGUGUAGCGGUGAAAUGCGUAGAUAUCAAGAGGAACACCUGCGGCGAAGGCGGGUUGCUGGGCCGACACGUGACGCUGAUGCGCGAAAGCUAGGGGAGCGAAGCGGG
rnacentral:rRNA from 1 species